CAAGACCCAGUAUGGACACGAGGGCCCCCACUCAGCUGCUGGGGCUCCUGCUGCUCUGGCUCCCAGGUACCACGUUUGCCCUCGAUAUGACCCAGACUCCAUCCUCCGUGUCUGCAGCUGUGGGAGGCACAGUCACCAUCAAUUGCCAGGCCAGUGAAAGCAUUAGCAACUACUUAUUCUGGUAUCAGCAAAAACCAGGGCAGCCUCCCAAGCUCCUGAUUUAUGGUGCAUCCACUCUGGCAUCUGGUGUCCCAUCACGGUUCAGCGGCAGCAGAUCUGAUACACAGUUCUCUCUCACCAUCAGCGGCGUGCAGUGUGACGAUGCUGCCACUUACUACUGUCAAGGCUAUUAUUAUAGUAGUAAUGUUGAUACCACAGUGAUACAAGCCCUAACAAAAACCCCCCAGGAAAGCACAAGUGUGAGGCUGGGCUGCCCCAGCUGCUCCUCCUGGACCCCAUCUGCUGAGAGUGAUUCUCAGAGCAGCCAGGCUUGAAGGUCCUGCAGGGUCGGGUGGAAGGGGCCAGGCUGACUCCUCUGAGGCUCCCUCCUUUCCUCCUCCUUGGUGGCAGCAGCACAGACAUGACCAUGUCCCUACUGUUUUAAAGGAAAGCAAUUAUUUCUGAGUACUCGAAUGUAGAACAUCAUUUGAGAUUCAUAGAGCAAAAGAGAAAACAUUAUACGUAUUA